rnacentral:rRNA from 1 species
UGGGGAAUUUUCGGCAAUGGGGGAAACCCUGACCGAGCAACGCCGCGUGAAUGAAGAAGUAUUUCGGUAUGUAAAGUUCUUUUAUUGAGGAAGAAUGGGUUAGGUAGGAAAUGACCUAACCGUGACGGUACUCAAUAAAUAAGCCCCGGCUAACUAUGUGCCAGCAGCCGCGGUAAUACAUAGGGGGCAAGCGUUAUCCGGAAUUAUUGGGCGUAAAGAGCUCGUAGGCGGUUUGUCGCGUCUGCUGUGAAAACGCGAGGCUCAACCUCGCGCCUGCAGUGGGUACGGGCAAACUAGAGUGCGGUAGGGGAGAUUGGAAUUCCUGGUGUAGCGGUGGAAUGCGCAGAUAUCAGGAGGAACACCAAUGGCGAAGGCAGAUCUCUGGGCCGUAACUGACGCUGAGGAGCGAAAGCGUGGGGAGCAAACAGGAUUAGAUACCCUAGUAGUCCACGCUGUAAACGAUGAAUACUAAGUGUUGGAGAAAUUCAGUGCUGCAGUUAACGCAAUAAGUAUUCCGCCUGGGGAGUAUGCACGCAAGUGUG